CUCCGGGACUGGGAUAAGGGGAUUGGUGGGAGGCAAUGACCCCCACCUAUUAACAGGUGAGGGCCAUUGCCCCCUACCAAUACAAAGGUUGGAUCAUGAAUUGGUCGGACUAGAGGAUCCACCCCCAAAACUCAUAUACACUAACCUCCAACACUCCACGAGAAACCCAUCUCCCCCAAAACCCCCCAUCUCACCCAAUCGCCACUCCAAGCUUCGGCUCGACGAGGGAGAGAGCACCUCGAAUCCUCGAUCGAAACCACUCACCUUCUCUGCCUCCCAGCACACCGCCGCCACCGAGCUCGCUGUCUCCCAGCACACGAAUCAGAGCCCUACUGCAGGAAAGCUUGUCGGAGAGAAACUUGGAGGGACCCCGUUGUGUCUCGCCGAUCUUGUUUGAGUGAAUGAGGUAGAAAAUGAUAUCUUAGAAGAUACACAUGAGUGGAAAUUUGAUCCAAUAAUACAAGAUAUUUUAGAAUUCGUAUACGCGAUUCUCUAUCUUUUGUCGUACUGUAUAAUUUUGUAAACUUGACUUAGAAAUUUGUGGAAUAUGACUACAUACUUUUUGGUUUAAUUAUUGGUAGAUUAUGAGUCUAUUGAUGACAAGUUCAUUGUAA